ensembl:lncRNA
CUCCUGACGAGAUGAGACAAACAAACAAACAAGCAAACAAACACGGACUGUGAAAGAUGCUGGUAGGCAACGUGGCUGUACCCUGCUGGCUGUACUCUGGAUUCAUGAUGAUUGCUAGAUUUUAUUGGGGAUUGAGCAAAGUGCACACUGGAGGAAGAGAAUACUUCAAAAUGAGAAGAUCCUGCCAUGGAAAAGACGACUGGGCGGACAUAAAGUGUAAAGGAGGGGAAAUAACUCCCACCAUGCAGCAGGACACCUUCAGCUGUGUGGUCUUCGUAAUGCAGAACUUCUCCAACAUCCCCUCCCAAAUUGAUAUGGAACCUUCAAAAACACAUGGAGCAACUGGGAACAGAAAAUGGCUGAGGAUAUACUAAACAUGUCUGAGUUCAACAAAGCCAACAACCGCUUCAUGUGUGCCACUGAUAAAGAACCUGGAUGUGGCCCAAAGACUGACUGGGAAUGAAGACAAAAGAGUUCAACAGAGUGAAGAACACAAACUGGAUGUGCAGUCUUUGUUGUUGAAAAUGUAUGCUAUACCCCAUCCACACUGAAGAGGCUCUGACAUGUACAUCAACCAGGGUUAAU